rnacentral:rRNA from 1 species
GAUGAACGCUGGCGGCGUGCCUAAUACAUGCAAGUCGAGCGAAUGGAUUAAGAGCUUGCUCUUAUGAAGUUAGCGGCGGACGGGUGAGUAACACGUGGGUAACCUGCCCAUAAGACUGGGAUAACUCCGGGAAACCGGGGCUAAUACCGGAUAACAUUUUGAACCGCAUGGUUCGAAAUUGAAAGGCGGCUUCGGCUGUCACUUAUGGAUGGACCCGCGUAGCAUUAGCUAGUUGGUGAGGUAACGGCUCACCAAGGAAACGAUGCGUAGCCGACCUGAGAGGGUGAUCGGCCACACUGGGACUGAGACACGGCCCAGACUCCUACGGGAGGCAGCAGUAGGGGAUCUUCCGUAAUGGACGAAAGUCUGACGGAGCAACGCCGCGUGAGUGAUGAAGGCUUUCGGGUCGUAAAACUCUGUUGUUAGGGAAGAACAAGUGCUAGUUGAAUAAGCUGGCACCUUGACGGUACCUAACCAGAAAGCCACGGCUAACUACGUGCCAGCAGCCGCGGUAA